GACGAACGCUGGCGGCGUGCCUAAUACAUGCAAGUAGAACGCUGAAGGAGGAGCUUGCUUCUCUGGAUGAGUUGCGAACGGGUGAGUAACGCGUAGGUAACCUGCCUGGUAGCGGGGGAUAACUAUUGGAAACGAUAGCUAAUACCGCAUAAUAGUAGAUGUUGCAUGACAUUUGCUUAAAAGGUGCAAUUGCAUCACUACCAGAUGGACCUGCGUUGUAUUAGCUAGUUGGUGGGGUAACGGCUCACCAAGGCGACGAUACAUAGCCGACCUGAGAGGGUGAUCGGCCACACUGGGACUGAGACACGGCCCAGACUCCUACGGGAGGCAGCAGUAGGGAAUCUUCGGCAAUGGACGGAAGUCUGACCGAGCAACGCCGCGUGAGUGAAGAAGGUUUUCGGAUCGUAAAGCUCUGUUGUAAGAGAAGAACGAGUGUGAGAGUGGAAAGUUCACAAUGUGACGGUAUCUUACCAGAAAGGGACGGCUAACUACGUG
rnacentral:rRNA from 1 species